rnacentral:rRNA from 1 species
AUUGAACGCUGGCGGCAGGCCUAACACAUGCAAGUCGAGCGGAGCGGCGGACGGGUGAGUAAUGCCUAGGAAUCUGCCUGGUAGUGGGGGAUAACGUCCGGAAACGGGCGCUAAUACCGCAUACUAUCAGAUGAGCCUAGGUCGGAUUAGCUAGUUGGUGGGGUAAAGGCCUACCAAGGCGACGAUCGGUAACGGGUCUGAGAGGAGGAUCAGUCACAUUGGAACUGAGACACGGUCCAUACUCAUACGUGAGGCAGCAGGGGGGAAUAUUGGGAAAUGGGCGAAAGACUGUCCCAGCCAUGCCGCGUGUGUGAAGAAGGUCUUCGGGUUGUAAAGCACUUUAAGUUAGGAGGCGUUACCAACAGAAUAAUCACCGGCUAACUUCGUGGCAGCAGCCGCGGUAAUAC